rnacentral:rRNA from 1 species
CGGCGGCGACCGGCGCACGGGUGCGUAACAGGUGUGCAAUCUGUCCAUAAUCGGGGAAUAGCCCAGCGAAAGUUGGAUUAAUGCUCCAUGUGAGCUUGAGAGGCAUCUCUCGGGUUUGAAACGUAAGGAUUAUGGGUGAGCACGCUUCUGAUUAGGUAGUUGGUGAGGUAACGGCUCACCAAGCCGACGAUCAGUAGGGGUUCUGAGAGGAAGGUCCCCCACAUUGGAACUGAGACACGGUCCAAACUCCUACGGGAGGCAGCAGUGAGGAAUAUUGGUCAAUGGGCGAAAGCCUGAACCAGCCAAGUCGCGUGAAGGAUGAAGGUUCUAUGGAUUGUAAACUUCUUUUGUCUGAGGGUAAAAAAGCGGACGUGUCCGUUCUUGCAAGUAUCAGACGAAUAAGCAUCGGCUAACUCCGUGCCAGCAGCCGCGGUAAUACGGAGGAUGCGAGCGUUAUCCGGAUUUAUUGGGUUUAAAGGGUGCGUAGGCGGGUUGCUAAGUCAGUGGUAAAAGCGUGUGGCUCAACCAUACCAAGCCAUUGAAACUGGUGAUCUUGAGUGUAAACGAGGUAGGCGGAAUGUGACGUGUAGCGGUGAAAUGCUUAGAUAUGUCACAGAACCCCGAUUGCGAAGGCAGCUUACCAGCAUACAACUGACGCUGAGGCACGAAAGCGUGGGUAUCAAACAGGAUUAGAUACCCU